rnacentral:lncRNA from 1 species
CGGUUUUUAUAAUUGUUUGGAUGUUGUGCACAACACAUGGGUGAGGUGGGGUGGCCCAUCCAUCUCCGCCGGUCACCCGACAGCCCCUGGUUUGCCCUGCACCAACAGCACGCCUCCCGGGUUCCCAUGACCGGCAGUCUGAAAGCCAUCCAGCUGCUGUGCACCUAUGACCGACAGCCCAGCACCUAUGAUCUAUCUGCAAUGUAUCGACCCUAGACAAACCGUUUUGGGGCUCCUGGAGGCCCAUAAAGCGCAGCCGGGGCAACAUGCGCUCCCUUUAAGUCGACCAUGCAAUGCCUUGCCUACCCUAUAUUUCAGAACAAUCCUAUGCUUUCGGUGCAUUUGGAUGGGUACAAAGCUAGAAGUCCUGUCUUCAUCAUCGGCCAUGUCGACGUCAGAGUGCCCGCGCGUGAAGCUGUUUGCUAUACUAGUUAAAGCAAUAACUUUGUUUAGCUAUAAAGUCUCUGUAGCCCGUUCGGUUGGCUUUAUGAAAUUGCGUAACCUCUGUCCGGCCGUCGCAGUUACCUUCUACCAGAGUAUGUGCGCUUUGCGCAGAAUUUAAGCUAUAAAGACAAGCAAUAGUUAACUCAAUUGGUGUUCCUGGCCUCGCAGUAAUUCGUUAGCCAACUUCCCCUCCGGGGCAUAGGCACUCGGGGUCUUGGCCUGCAGGACCCGUCCACAUUAACACAAUGCCUAAGUCUUGCAAAUGCGGCAACCUUUUCUGUAAUAAAUUACACCUCAAAAUCCAUGAACGGUUUGCCUCAUUGGUACAGGUCGCUUGCAAUCACGCCGUACACAUCUUCAUACAUCAGUCCAAAAUGACUACAUCCUGCUUACAUUCGUCAUUCAUAUAGGCAAUAUUGCGAUAUCAUUACGAUCUUUGAUGGACCUUGAGGAAGAGCGUGCUACAUGCAUAGCCAGAAACGAAGCUAAGUUAGCAGAGCUUGGUCUUUUGCAUUCACCUCCCCAGUCCAACAAAAUUACAAGCACUGGAUUGAAAUCCCGCCGACUUCGUAGAAGGAUCGACCAAGCANNNNNNNNNNNNNNNNNNNNNNNNNNNNNNNNNNNNNNNNNNNNNNNNNNNNNNNNNNNNNNNNNNNNNNNNNNNNNNNNNNNNNNNNNNNNNNNNNNNNNNGUAUUUAACUUAGGGAGAGGCACCCCCAGAAUCCCGGAUGGGCAGUGGCAGGUGUUGUGUCGUAUGCGGUUUUUAUAAUUGUUUGGAUGUUGUGCACAACACAUGGGUGAGGUGGGGUGGCCCAUCCAUCUCCGCCGGUCACCCGACAGCCCCUGGUUUGCCCUGCACCAACAGCACGCCUCCCGGGUUCCCAUGACCGGCAGUCUGAAAGCCAUCCAGCUGCUGUGCACCUAUGACCGACAGCCCAGCACCUAUGAUCUAUCUGCAAUGUAUCGACCCUAGACAAACCGUUUUGGGGCUCCUGGAGGCCCAUAAAGCGCAGCCGGGGCAACAUGCGCUCCCUUUAAGUCGACCAUGCAAUGCCUUGCCUACCCUAUAUUUCAGAACAAUCCUAUGCUUUCGGUGCAUUUGGAUGGGUACAAAGCUAGAAGUCCUGUCAUCAUCAUCGGCCAUGUCGACGUCAGAGUGCCCGCGCGUGAAGCUGUUUGCUAUACUAGUUAAAGCAAUAACUUUGUUUAGCUAUAAAGUCUCUGUAGCCCGUUCGGUUGGCUUUAUGAAAUUGCGUAACCUCUGUCCGGCCGUCGCAGUUACCUUCUACCAGAGUAUGUGCGCUUUGCGCAGAAUUUAAGCUAUAAAGACAAGCAAUAGUUAACUCAAUUGGUGUUCCUGGCCUCGCAGUAAUUCGUUAGCCAACUUCCCCUCCGGGGCAUAGGCACUCGGGGUCUUGGCCUGCAGGACCCGUCCACAUUCACACAAUGCCUAAGUCUUGCAAAUGCGGCAACCUUUUCUGUAAUAAAUUACACCUCANAAUCCAUGAACGGUUUGCCUCAUUGGUACAGGUCGCUUGCAAUCACGCCGUACACAUCUUCAUACAUCAGUCCAAAAUGACUACAUCCUGCUUACAUUCGUCAUUCAUAUAGGCAAUAUUGCGAUAUCAUUACGAUCUUUGAUGGACCUUGAGGAAGAGCGUGCUACAUGCAUAGCCAGAAACGAAGCUAAGUUAGCAGAGCUUGGUCUUUUGCAUUCACCUCCCCAGUCC